AUUCCACGGUUUCCGCGCCGCAGCUAACGCAUUAAGUGCCCCGCCUGGGGAGUACGGCCGCAAGGCUAAAACUCAAAGGAAUUGACGGGGGCCCGCACAAGCGGCGGAGCAUGCGGAUUAAUUCGAUGCAACGCGAAGAACCUUACCAAGGCUUGACAUGUUCUCGAUCGCCGUAGAGAUACGGUUUCCCCUUUGGGGCGGGUUCACAGGUGGUGCAUGGUUGUCGUCAGCUCGUGUCGUGAGAUGUUGGGUUAAGUCCCGCAACGAGCGCAACCCUCGUUCCAUGUUGCCAGCACGUAAUGGUGGGGACUCAUGGGAGACUGCCGGGGUCAACUCGGAGGAAGGUGAGGACGACGUCAAAUCAUCAUGCCCCUUAUGUCUUGGGCUUCACGCAUGCUACAAUGGCCGGUACAAUGGGUUGCGAUACUGUGAGGUGGAGCUAAUCCCAAAAAGCCGGUCUCAGUUCGGAUUGGGGUCUGCAACUCGACCCCAUGAAGUCGGAGUCGCUAGUAAUCGCAGAUCAGCAACGCUGCGGUGAAUACGUUCCCGGGCCUUGUACACACCGCCCGUCAAGUCACGAAAGUUGGUAACACCCGAAGCCGGUGGCCUAACCCUUGUGGGGGGAGCCGUCGAA
rnacentral:rRNA from 1 species